CGUGGGGCAGCUAUACAUGCAGUCGAGCGGACAGAAGGGAGCUUGCUCCCGGAUGUUAGCGGCGGACGGGUGAGUAACACGUGGGUAACCUGCCUGUAAGACUGGGAUAACUCCGGGAAACCGGAGCUAAUACCGGAUAGUUCCUUGAACCGCAUGGUUCAAGGAUGAAAGACGGUUUCGGCUGUCACUUACAGAUGGACCCGCGGCGCAUUAGCUAGUUGGUGGGGUAAUGGCUCACCAAGGCGACGAUGCGUAGCCGACCUGAGAGGGUGAUCGGCCACACUGGGACUGAGACACGGCCGCCACUCCUACGGGAGGCAGCAGUAGGGAAUCUUCUACAAUGGACGAAAGUCAGAC
rnacentral:rRNA from 1 species